rnacentral:rRNA from 1 species
AGAGUUUGAUCAUGGCUCAGGACGAACGCUGGCGGCGUGCCUAAUACAUGCAAGUCGAGCGGAUCAAUGGGGAGCUUGCUCCCCUGAGGUCAGCGGCGGACGGGUGAGUAACACGUGGGCAACCUGCCUGUAAGACUGGGUAAAACUCCGGGAAACCGGGGCUAAUACCGGAUAACAUUUUCCACUGCAUAGUGGAGAAUUAAAAGAUGGCUUCGGCUAUCACUUACUGAUGGGCCCGCGGCGCAUUAGCUAGUUGGUGAGGUAAUGGCUCACCAAGGCGACGAUGCGUAGCCGACCUGAGAGGGUGAUCGGCCACACUGGGACUGAGACACGGCCCAGACUCCUACGGGAGGCAGCAGUAGGGAAUCUUCGGCAAUGGGCGAAAGCCUGACCGAGCAACGCCGCGUGAGCGAUGAAGGCCUUCGGGUCGUAAAGCUCUGUUGUUAGGGAAGAACAAGUACCGUUCGAACAGGGCGGUACCUUGACGGUACCUAACCAGAAAGCCACGGCUAACUACGUGCCAGCAGCCGCGGUAAUACGUAGGUGGCAAGCGUUGUCCGGAAUUAUUGGGCGUAAAGCGCGCGCAGGCGGUCUCUUAAGUCUGAUGUGAAAGCCCACGGCUCAACCGUGGAGGGCCAUUGGAAACUGGGGGACUUGAGUACUGGAGAGGAGAGUGGAAUUCCAUGUGUAGCGGUGAAAUGCGUAGAUAUAUGGAGGAACACCAGUGGCGAAGGCGGCUCUCUGGCCAGUAACUGACGCUGAGGCGCGAAAGCGUGGGGAGCAAACAGGAUUAGAUACCCUGGUAGUCCACGCCGUAAACGAUGAGUGCUAGGUGUUGGGGGGUUCCACCCUCAGUGCUGACGUUAACACAUUAAGCACUCCGCCUGGGGAGUACGGCCGCAAGGCUGAAACUCAAAAGGAAUUGACGGGGGGCCCGCACAACCAGUGGAGCAUGUGGGUUUAAUUUUAAAGCAACGCCGAAAAAACCUUAUCCAGGGCUUUGAAAUCCUUUGGUAACUUUCUAAAAAAAAAAAAGUUCCCCCUUCCGGGGGACAAAAAAAACAAGGGGGGGCCUAGGUUUUCCCCCCCCCCCCCGCCUU